UCCUUCGCGCCCCGAUUGGCCGGCCGCGCCAUUGUGACGUCACGGUCAGCCCACGUUCUGAUUGUAGAUACCCGGCGCCUUCCUCUUCCCAUCGCGGCGGAUCCUCGCUCGCGGCGCCUCCCUCCGACAUCCUCCCAGGCUCUGCUGGCCACCGGCGCUCCGCUACCGCCGCCGCGUCGCUGCUGCUGCCCUUGGGGCCAGGAGUGUCCCCUUACCGCAGGUGCAGGAGGGUGCACACGGAUCUCCUCUGUCAUUGGCACUGUUCUAUUGGCAAAGGAAUGUGCUUCCAAACUGGGAAAGGAAGGCAUGCGUGGACAAGUGGAAGGUCACUCUGAUUCCUACUUUGAAGGCAGGUGCUGUCAUUUUCUUCCUUUUCUCAUUCGUCCAUUCAUUCAUUUCCUCAUCCUUCCCCAGCCCCCCCGUGUACAGAUGUGUGCAUACAAACACUCACGCAUUUAGGGAGAGGUUAAUAAUUGAAUGCAUGGCAUUUACAUUCGGUAGUGUCUAAUGUGACUUAGUCACAGGAAACUGGCUUCUCUUGUUAUUUAUGAUUUCGAAUUUGAGUCUGUGGUGAGUAAGUUUCCAGGAGUAGUAUCCUCAUUUGAACUGAAGGUUAGUGUCAUUCUAGGGCUAUAGGAUACUCAGCUUGAUGCCCACACUGUAAUGUGAAAAUCAGCUCACCCCUGUUUGGCUGGUUGUGUUGAAUUUCUCUUACUGCCACACUAUAUAUGAUUUAAUGAGUUAGUAGGGAGCCAGAACGAACUUAAUUACUUCAUAGGUUACUUCUAAUGAUAAUUAUUAUUUUUUUUAUUUUAUUCAUUUUUGUUAGCAGUUUCAGAAAAGCCCAUUUUAACUAACUGAGGCUUUGGAAUAUCUGUUCAUUGUUUAAAAUUGUGUACUCCAGGUUUAACUGCUAAUGUUGAGUAUAAACAUUCCUUUUUUUUUUUUUUAAGAUUUAUUUAUUUAUUUGAAAGAAAUUACAGAGAGGCAGAGGCCGAGAGAGAGAGAAGUCAUCUAUCUGCUGGCUCACCCCUUAAAAGGCUGCCACAGCCAGAGCUGGGCCAACCCAAAGCUGGGAGCCAGGAGCCUCUACCGGGCCUCCCAUGCAGGCACAGGGGCCCAAAGACUUGGGCUGUCCUCCACAGACUUCCUAGGCCAUAGCAGAGAGCCAGAUUGGAAGAGGAGCAGCCAGGACUCAAACCAGUGGCCAUGUGGUAUGCUGGCACUGCAGGCAGCGGCUUAACCUGCUGUGCCACACACAGCAUAGGCCCCUAAACAUUCCUUUUUUUUUUUCCAGGUAUAUGAUACUUCAAAGGUUUGUGGGAAAAUUAAAAUUAAAAUAUAAGGAAAAAAGUUUGAAAUACAUACGUAGCUUUUUUUGUGGUAUGCAUUUUACAUGAACUUUUCGCAAAGAUUCCUCAUAUGCAUGGGAGCUUCAAAUUUUUUUGCACCAAAAUAAACUUAAUUUUUAAUUUUAUAUUCCA
rnacentral:lncRNA from 1 species